rnacentral:rRNA from 1 species
UACGUAGUGGGCUAGCGUUGUCCGGCAUCAUUGGGCGUAAAGAGCGCGUAGGCGGUCCGGUAAGUCAGCUGUGAAAGUCAGGGGCUCAACCCUUGAAAGCCGGUUGAUACUGUCGGGCUAGAGUCCGGAAGAGGCGAGUGGAAUUCCCGGUGUAGCGGUGAAAUGCGCAGAUAUCGGGAGGAACACCAAUGGCGAAGGCGGCGACCUGGAUUGGCACUGACACUCAACUGCGAAAGCGUGGGGAGCAAACAGG